rnacentral:rRNA from 1 species
UUAAGCUACAAAGGGCGCACGGUGGAUGCCUUGGCACUAGGAGCCGAUGAAGGACGCGGUAAACGGCGAUACGCCUCGGGGAGCUGUAAGCAAGCUUUGAUCCGAGGAUUUCCGAAUGGGGGAACCCACUGUCCGUAAUGGGGCAGUAUCACCACCUGAAUUCAUAGGGUGGAUGAAGGUAUACCAGGGGAACUGAAACAUCUAAGUACCCUGAGGAGAAGAAAACAAGUAGUGAUUCCCUAAGUAGUGGCGAGCGAACGGGGAACAGCCCAAACCGGAAGGCUUGCCUUCCGGGGUUGUAGGACGUCUCACAUGGAGUUACAAAGGUCAAGAAUAGGCGAAGCGAUCUGGAAAGGUCCAUCACAGAAGGUAACAAUCCUGUAGCUGAAAUUCUUGCCCCUCCGAGACGGAUCCUGAGUAGGGCGGGACACGUGAAACCCCGUCUGAAGCUGGGAGGACCAUCUCCCAAGGCUAAAUACUCCCUAGUGACCGAUAGUGAACCAGUACCGUGAGGGAAAGGUGAAAAGCACCCCGGAAGGGGAGUGAAAUAGAUCCUGAAACCGUGUGCCUACAAACAGUCGGAGCACGAUUAAUGUGUGACGGCGUGCCUUUUGUAGAAUGAACCGGCGAGUUACGUUUACGUGCAAGGUUAAGCUGAAGAGGCGGAGCCGCAGCGAAAGCGAGUCUGAAUAGGGCGAAUGAGUACGUAGGCGUAGACCCGAAACCGUGUGAUCUACCCAUGUCCAGGGUGAAGGUGCGGUAACACGCACUGGAGGCCCGAACCCACGCACGUUGAAAAGUGCGGGGAUGAGGUGUGGGUAGCGGAGAAAUUCCAAUCGAACUCGGAAAUAGCUGGUUCUCUCCGAAAUAGCUUUAGGGCUAGCCUCGAUGUAGGAGUCUUGGAGGUAGAGCACUGAUUGGGCUAGGGGUCCUCACCGGAUUACCGAACUCAGUCAAACUCCGAAUGCCAAUGACUUACCAUCGGGAGUCAGACUGCGAGUGCUAAGAUCCGUAGUCAAAAGGGAAACAGCCCAGACCAUCAGCUAAGGUCCCCAAGUGUAUGUUAAGUGGGAAACGAUGUGGAGUUGCCCAGACAACCAGGAUGUUGGCUUAGAAGCAGCCACCAUUUAAAGAGUGCGUAAUAGCUCACUGGUCGAGUGACUCUGCGCGGAAAAUGUAACGGGGCUAAACAUACCACCGAAGCUAUGGACUGUCAUUAGACAGUGGUAGGAGAGCGUUCCAAGGGCAUUGAAGCAUGACCGGAAGGACAUGUGGAGCGCUUGGAAGUGAGAAUGCCGGUGUAAGUAGCGAAAAGAUCAGUGAGAAUCUGAUCCGCCGAAAACCUAAGGUUUCCUGAGGAAGGCUCGUCCGCUCAGGGUUAGUCGGGACCUAAGUCGAGGCCGAAAGGCGUAGACGAUGGACAACAGGUUGAAAUUCCUGUACCACCUCAUUUCCGUUUGAGCAAUGGAGGGACGCAGUAAGGUAGGGAGAGCAGGCGAUUGGAAGUGCCUGUCUAAGCGUUUAGGUUGAUGAGUAGGCAAAUCCGCUCAUUAUAAGACUGAGACGUGAUGGCGAGGGAAAUUUAAGUACCGAAGUCCCUGAUCCUACACUGCCAAGAAAAGCUUCUAGCGAGGAAAUAGGUGCCCGUACCGUAAACCGACACAGGUAGGUGAGGAGAGAAUCCUAAGGCGCGCGGGAAAACUCUUGCUAAGGAACUCGGCAAAAUGACCCCGUAACUUCGGGAGAAGGGGUGCCCCGGUAGUGUGAAUAGCACGAGGGGGCCGCAGUGAAAAGGCCCAAGCGACUGUUUAGCAAAAACACAGGUCUCUGCGAAGCCGCAAGGCGAAGUAUAGGGGCUGACGCCUGCCCGGUGCUGGAAGGUUAAGAGGAGAGGUUAGCGCAAGCGAAGCUUUGAAUUGAAGCCCCAGUAAACGGCGGCCGUAACUAUAACGGUCCUAAGGUAGCGAAAUUCCUUGUCGGGUAAGUUCCGACCCGCACGAAAGGCGUAACGACUUGGGCGCUGUCUCGGCAAGAGACCCGGUGAAAUCGUAAUACCUGUGAAGAUGCAGGUUACCCGUGACAAGACGGAAAGACCCCAUGGAGCUUUACUACAGCUUGAUAUUGGAUUUUGGUAUGUUUUGUACAGGAUAGGUGGGAGCCAGAGAAGCCGGGUCGCCAGAUUCGGUGGAGGCAUUGGUGGGAUACCACCCUGAACAUAUCGGAGUUCUAACCUACGCCCCUGAUCGGGGUGGGGGACAGUGUCAGGUGGGUAGUUUGACUGGGGCGGUCGCCUCCUAAAGAGUAACGGAGGCGCCCAAAGGUUCCCUCAGCGCGGUUGGAAAUCGCGCGAAGAGUGCAAAGGCAGAAGGGAGCUUGACUGCGAGACCUACAAGUCGAGCAGGGACGAAAGUCGGGCUUAGUGAUCCGGUGGUUCCGCAUGGAAGGGCCAUCGCUCAACGGAUAAAAGCUACCCUGGGGAUAACAGGCUUAUCUCCCCCAAGAGUCCACAUCGACGGGGAGGUUUGGCACCUCGAUGUCGGCUCAUCGCAUCCUGGGGCUGAAGUAGGUCCCAAGGGUUGGGCUGUUCGCCCAUUAAAGCGGUACGCGAGCUGGGUUCAGAACGUCGUGAGACAGUUCGGUCCCUAUCUGUCACGGGCGCAGGAAAUUUGAGAGGAGCUGUCCUUAGUACGAGAGGACCGGGAUGGACGCACCGCUGGUGCACCAGUUGUUCCGCCAGGAGCACAGCUGGGUAGCUAUGUGCGGCAGGGAUAAGCGCUGAAAGCAUCUAAGCGUGAAGCCCCCCUCAAGAUGAGAUUUCCCAUGGAGUUAAUCCAGUAAGACCCCUUAGAGAUGAUGAGGUUGAUAGGUCCGGUGUGGAAGUGCUGCAAAGCAUGGAGCUGACGGAUACUAAUCGGUCGAGGGCUUAACCAA